rnacentral:rRNA from 1 species
UACGAAGGGGGCUAGCGUUGUUCGGAAUUACUGGGCGUAAAGCGCACGUAGGCGGAUUUGUAAGUCAGGGGUGAAAUCCCGGGGCUCAACCUCGGAACUGCCUUUGAUACUGCAAAUCUCGAGUCCGAUAGAGGUGGGUGGAAUUCCUAGUGUAGAGGUGAAAUUCGUAGAUAUUAGGAAGAACACCGGUGGCGAAGGCGGCCCACUGGAUCAGUACUGACGCUGAGGUGCGAAAGCGUGGGGAGCAAACAGG